CGUAGUCGAUGGGAAACAGGUUAAUAUUCCUGUACUUGGUAAAGCUGCGAUGUGGGGACGGAGUAGGUUAGGUUAUCGCACUGUUGGAUAUGUGCGUUUAAGUUGGUAGGUGGGAAGUUUAGGCAAAUCCGGACUUCUAUUAAACACUGAGAGAUGAUGACGAGGCUCUAAGGAGCUGAAGUAACUGAUACCACACUUCCAGGAAAAGCCACUAAGCGACAGGCUUUACUAAACCGUACUGAAAACCGACACAGGUGGUCAGGUAGAGAAUACUCAGGCGCUUGAGAGAACUCGGGUGAAGGAACUAGGCAAAAUAGCACCGUAACUUCGGGAGAAGGUGCGCCGGCGUAGAUUGUAAGGGCUAGCCCCUGAAGGUUGAACCGGUCGAAGAUACCAGCUGGCUGCAACUGUUUAUUAAAAACACAGCACUCUGCAAACACGAAAGUGGAGGUAUAGGGUGUGAUGCCUGCCCGGUGCUGGAAGGUUAAUUGAUGGUGUAAUCGCAAGAGAAGCACCUGAUCGAAGCCCCAGUAAACGGCGGCCGUAACUAUAACGGUCCUAAGGUAGCGAAAUUCCUUGUCGGGUAAGUUCCGACCUGCACGAAUGGCAUAAUGAUGGCCAGGCUGUCUCCACCCGAGACUCAGUGAAAUUGAAAUCGCCGUGAAGAUGCGGUGUACCCGCGGCUAGACGGAAAGACCCCGUGAACCUUUACUAUAGCUUGACACUGAACAUUGAAUUUUGAUGUGUAGGAUAGGUGGGAGACUUAGAAGUAGGAACGCCAGUUUCUAUGGAGUCAUCCUUGAAAUACCACCCUUUAACGUUUGAUGUUCUAACGAAGAUUGCGGAACGCGGUCUCGGACAGUGUCUGGUGGGUAGUUUGACUGGGGCGGUCUCCUCCCAAAGCGUAACGGAGGAGCACGAAGGUUUGCUAAUCACGGUCGGACAUCGUGAGGUUAGUGCAAUGGUAUAAGCAAGCUUAACUGCGAGA
rnacentral:rRNA from 1 species